rnacentral:rRNA from 1 species
GUAGGGAAUAUUGCGCAAUGGACGCAAGUCUGACGCAGCAACGCCGCGUGGGUGAUGACGUUUUUCGGAAUGUAAAACCCUGUCAGUGGGGAAGAACCGUAUCGGGAGUCACUGCCCGGUGCCUGACGGUACCCACAGAGGAAGUCCCGGCUAACUCCGUGCCAGCAGCCGCGGUAAUACGGGGGGGACAAGCGUUGUUCGGAUUUACUGGGUGUAAAGGGCGCGUAGGCGGGCCGCAAAGUCGGCGGUGUCAUCCCCGGGCUUAACCCGGGGGCUGCCGUCGAUACUGGCGGUCUUGAGUACAGGAGAGGAGAGUGGAAUUCCAGGUGUAGCGGUGAAAUGCGUAGAUAUCUGGAAGAACACCCGUUGCGAAGGCGGCUCUCUGGACUGCUACUGACGCUGAGGCGCGAAGGCUUGGGGAGCAAACAGGAUUAGAAACCCUUGUAGUCC